UUAUCUAGUGUAAUAACACAUCAUUCUAGGAAAAUUAUUAGCCGCUGGCAAAUAGUUUUGAUAUACAUGAUAAAUGAUAAUGUGUAUGGUUUUGGUGUAUAUAUUUGUCUUGUGAAAGUACUCUGCUCUAACAUUUACUUGCCCAUUUGCUUAAAACAGAGUCUUCUCUUUAUCAGCUGAGCAUAAUGAAUAUCUUCUAUAUCUAUCUUUUCCCUUGAGAGGCCCUUUAACUAGAGAAGAGUGGAUAAUGUCAUCUCCUUUUGAAGCUUUUCGAAACUUGUGGACAUCAUUAUGCCAAAACAUGACAAAAACUUAUUUUAUAACUCUUGAUUAUAUAACUAGUUGCAUACAACUAUACAAGUAUGAAGGACCAAUAAAAUAAAUCGAUAAUUAAUGUAGGAUGAAAAAGAUGUCCUUACAAGAGACUACAAGACGC
rnacentral:lncRNA from 1 species